AGCUCACUGGUCGAGUCGGCCUGCGCGGAAGAUGUAACGGGGCUAAACCAUGCACCGAAGCUGCGGCAGCGACACUGUGUGUUGUUGGGUAGGGGAGCGUUCUGUAAGCCUGUGAAGGUGUGUCGUGAGGCAUGCUGGAGGUAUCAGAAGUGCGAAUGCUGACAUAAGUAACGAUAAAGCGGGUGAAAAGCCCGCUCGCCGGAAGACCAAGGGUUCCUGUCCAACGUUAAUCGGGGCAGGGUGAGUCGACCCCUAAGGCGAGGCCGAAAGGCGUAGUCGAUGGGAAACGGGUUAAUAUUCCCGUACUUGGUGUUACUGCGAAGGGGGGACGGAGAAGGCUAUGUUGGCCGGGCGACGGUUGUCCCGGUUUAAGCGUGUAGGUGUGUGUUCCAGGUAAAUCCGGUUCACUUUAACACUGAGGCGUGACGACGAGGCACUACGGUGCUGAAGCAACAAAUGCCCUGCUUCCAGGAAAAGCCUCUAAGCAUCAGGUAACAUCAAAUCGUACCCCAAACCGACACAGGUGGUCAGGUAGAGAAUACCAAGGCGCUUGAGAGAACUCGGGUGAAGGAACUAGGCAAAAUGGUGCCGUAACUUCGGGAGAAGGCACGCUGACACGUAGGUGAAGUGAUUUACUCAUGGAGCUGAAGUCAGUCGAAGAUACCAGCUGGCUGCAACUGUUUAUUAAAAACACAGCACUGUGCAAACACGAAAGUGGACGUAUACGGUGUGACGCCUGCCCGGUGCCGGAAGGUUAAUUGAUGGGGUCAGCGCAAGCGAAGCUCCUGAUCGAAGCCCCGGUAAACGGCGGCCGUAACUAUAACGGUCCUAAGGUAGCGAAAUUCCUUGUCGGGUAAGUUCCGACCUGCACGAAUGGCGUAAUGAUGGCCAGGCUGUCUCCACCCGAGACUCAGUGAAAUUGAACUCGCUGUGAAGAUGCAGUGUACCCGCGGCAAGACGGAAAGACCCCGUGAACCUUUACUAUAGCUUGACACUGAACAUUGAGCCUUGAUGUGUAGGAUAGGUGGGAGGCUUUGAAGUGUGGACGCCAGUCUGCAUGGAGCCGACCUUGAAAUACCACCCUUUAAUGUUUGAUGUUCUAACGUGGACCCGUUACCCGGGUUGCGGACAGUGUCUGGUGGGUAGUUUGACUGGGGCGGUCUCCUCC
rnacentral:rRNA from 1 species